rnacentral:lncRNA from 1 species
GUGAGCUACACAUUACCAUUUGAUGAGAUUAAUCAAGGAUUUCAUCUUCUUCGUUCUGGGAUGAGGUUGGUAAUAAGGAGCACUAAAUCCAUAGUAUUAAUUCUAUUAUUUGUAAAUAAUAGUAACACAAAGAAUAGACAGGAUUUUCACUUCAUAUGAUUGGUAUAACUCAUUUUUUAUUGUGCACAUAAUAUCACAUUCUUUCAGCUCAUGAGAAGUUGUUUUUUUUUUCUUCUUCUUAUGAUCAAGUGUAAACAGAUCUAUAAACAGGUGCCUUUUUAUAGGACAUUAGGGGUAGACAAUGAUUUUAAAAAUACAGUUAUUUCAGGGUAUUCCGAACCAAAUUUUUCCAGAGUCUGUAAAAUAUGUUGGAGUUUGGAGCCUGCAUCAAAAGCCUUACUUCAGUCUAAACUAAUUAAUGCCUUCUGAACGGAUUGCCUGGAAUCAUCCAGUUCUAACGAUUCUUCCAUAAUUGUGGUCCUUUUAUUAACUUCUUAGAUAAAGAACUUAAGGAAUAAAUUCAGAGACCUUUUCCAUAUCGAAUACAAAGAGUGUUACUUAGAUACACUCCUACCAAUGCUACUUACUGAACAUACUUUUGCUGCUUAAGAGUACAAUCACCUUAAAUUGGAAAUUCACUUUGAAUUCUCAUUUUAGUGAAUAAACCUGUCUGUGUGGUGUGGAGCACUUUUACUAUGCAUAUUACACUAUGAAAUGUGUAUCCUUUUGUUUCCACUGUAGAUCUGUCCUUUAAUUGUCCAUAUUAGGAGAGGUGUGUUGUGUGCACUUUACUGGGUGUGACAAAUGAUAUAUCGAGUGGGAAGAUACAUGUGUUUCCACUCACAUUCAUUGUGGCAGUCAUACUGGAGGCAAUGGAAGAAAUGUUUAACCUAAUAUAAUAACAACACAGUAUUUAACAAGGAACAGUACAUUCAGAUUACUCUGGUUUCCAAGUACGUGCUGGGGAUGUUCCUUUUGCCCAACAUCCAGGGGAUGUUACUAAAUAUCUUUUAAUCUAUGUAUAACAGAUUUAUUUAAUCAAUCAUUGUUAGCAGGAGAUUGGAAGUUAGCAAAUGUUGUGCCCAUUCACAAGAAAGGUAGUAGGGAGGAGUCGGGCAACUAUAGGCCAGUAAGUCUUACUUCAGUAGUGGCGAAAGUAAUGGAAACCAUGUUAAAGGAUAGGAUUGUUGAACAUCUAAAAUCACAUGGAUUUCAAGAGAGAGAUCAUUCCAAUCUAAUCUUAUUUUUUUUGAUUGGGUAACUAAAAUAAUAGAUCAGGGUGGUGCAGUAGACAUUGCUUACCUAGAUUUCAGUAAGACUUUUGACACUGUUGCAUAUAGAAGGCUUAUCAAUAAACUGCAAUAUUUAAGUUUGUAUUCCAAUAUUGUUCAAUGGGUAAGGCAGUGGCCUAGUGACAGGCAACAGAGGGUUGUAGUCAAUGGAGUAUAUUCGAAGCACGGUCUUGUCACUAGUGGGGUACCUCAGGAAUCUGUACUUGGAUCCAUUUUCUUUAAUAUUUUUAUUAGUGAUAUUGCAGAAGAUCUUAACGGUAAGGUAUAUAUUUUUGCUGAUGAUACUAAGAUAUGCAACAGGGUUGAUAUUCCAGGAGGGAUAAGCCAAAUGGCAAAUGAUUUAAGUAAACUUAAAAAAUGGUCUGAGAUGUGGCAAUUGAUAUUUAAUGUGAAUAAGUGCAAGAACAUUUAAUGUGAAUAAGUGCAAGAUAACUUCAGCUCAAUGAAGUGGUCUGGGUGCCAGGUCCCUCUAGUUUUAACCCUGCAGCUGAAAACAUAGUUUCAGAGAACCCUAUGUUUACACUGAGGGUUAAUCCAGCCUCUAGUCGCUGUCUCCCUGACAGCCAUUAUAGGCCACGUCUGCGAUUCUCACUGUGAAAAUCACAGUGAGAAGACGCUGAUGUCCAUAGGAAAGCAUUGAGCAAUGCUUUCCUAUGGGCGGUUUGCAUGCGCGCGCGGCUCUUGUCGCGCAUGAGCAUUCAGCGCUGACGUCGGCAGGAGGAGGAGAGUUCCCCAGGGCUGAGGGAGUCCGGUGCUGGAGAAAGGUAAGUGGACCUAAGGACAACAUAGUGCCAGGAAAACGAGUUUGUUUUCCUGGCACUAUAGUGGUCUUUUAAGAGAGAGUUCAGAGAAGGGCUACUAAACUGGUUCAUGGAUUGCAGGAUAAAACUUACAAGGAAUGGUUAAAGGAUCUCAUCAUGUAUAGCUUGGAGGAAAGACGGGGGGUGGGUAUGAUAGAAACAUUUAAAUACAUAUAGGGAAUCAACAUAGUAAAGGAGGAGACUAUAUUUAUAAGAAGAAAAACUACCACAACAAGAGGGCAGAGUCUUUAUUUAGAGGGGCAAAGGUUUAAACAUAAUAUCAGGAAAUAUUACUUUACUGAGAGGGUAGUGGAUGCAUGGAAUAGCCUUUCAGCUGAAGUUGUAGAGGUUAACACAGUGAAGGAGUUUAAGCAUGCGUGGGAUAGGCAUAAGGCUAUCCUAGCNNNNNNNNNNNNNNNNNNNNNNNNNNNNNNNNNNNNNNNNNNNNNNNNNNNNNNNNNNNNNNNNNNNNNNNNNNNNNNNNNNNNNNNNNNNNNNNNNNNNGACUGCUAUUCAAUCUAUAACAGUGAAAAAAGUUUUUUGUUUUUAAAUCCAAGCUAUUGUGACACCAGAUGUAAGUGGUGGCACUGACUGGGGGAAUGGGCACAGUAUCCACUGUGAGCCUGACACAGAAGCUGGCAGCAGUGGCAGACAACCGACUGCUAUCCAAUCUAUAACAGUGAAAAAUGUUUUUUGUUUUUAAAUCCAAGCUAUUGUGACACCAGAUGUAAGUGGUGGCACUGACUGGGGAAAUGGGCACAGUAUGCACUGUGAGCCCGACACAGAAGCUGGCAGCAGUGGCAGACAACUAAGUGCAAUUACAUUACAUAGAAAAAAUAAAAAGCAUACCCUUAUCCCUAACCUAGCCAUGCUUUUCCCUAUCUUAUGAACAGCAGCUACACUUUCCCUCCUCUUACUAAGCAUGCAGCUUGAGAAUGAAUCUAAAAUGGAUGCUGUCCAGUAGGUGGGAGGGUCUGCUAGGGAGGCUGUGCUGCUAAUUGGCUGGAAUGUGUCUGCUGACCGUGAGGUACAGGGUCAAAGUUUACUCAAUGAUGACGAAUAGGGGGCGGGUCGAACCGCGCAUAUGUUCGCACGCCGUGGCGAACGCGAACAUGCUAUGUUCGCCAGGAACCGUUCGCCGGCGAACCGUUCGGUACAUCACUAAUCUUAUCCAUCACUCCCUCCUCCACACUGACAUGCUGUUUCCCCCCAUUGUGUUUUUUCUUUAUUAGACUGUAAGCUCUCUUAAGUAGGGUCUUCAACACCUCUUUUCUCUGUUAAUGAUCUGUAUGUGAUUUACUUGUUGUCAAAUAUUCUUAUUUUAUUAUUGUAAAGCGCUGCAGAAUAUGUUGGCACUAUAUAAAUUCUGCAAAUAAUAAUAAUACUAGCAGCUCUACAAGAUUAGUUUGGCUGUGUGUUAAUUGAUUAAUAGCUGACACCAAAAUCAGCCACAACAAAUGAGAUUUGAGGAAAAAUUAGAAGGUCCUAAGCAGUAUCUGUGAUUCAAGAUACACACAAAGACAAGUAAGAUCUUCAGUGUGGCAAAUAUGCUGUUUCAGUAUGCUCAUCAGUAGUAUUUACUUUUGUUAGUUUCUAAUUUCCACUUUUUUUAAAAUGUAUUUAUUGUUUAUUUUCUCUUUUCAUAGAAAGCAGCUCUGGAGUCUUGCCACUUGGGGUAUGGAACCAGCGUGAUUAUUGGAGAAGCUCCAUCUGCAGAGUUAAUCUCUUUUGACCCACUCCUGCUGUUUACAGGACGGACAUGGAAAGGGAGCAUUUUUGGAGGUACAUUUUAUUAAAGGCAGUAAAAAGUUUUGUUGCUAUUGUUUUAGUACUAGUGUAUAUGUUGAGCUCUGUGAAACUUUGUAUAAUGCGUUCUCCAGUCACAAAAUUAUCCAACUGUUAAAUAGAUUCCCAUUAGUGAUGUCCCGAACGGUUCGCCACGGACUCAUCAUUGAGUAAACUUUGACCCUGUACCUCACAGUCAGCAGACACAUUCCAGCCAAUUAGCAGCACACCCUCCCUACCAGAUCCUCCCACCUCCUGGACAGCAUCCAUUUUACAUUCAUUGUGAAGCUGCAUUCUUAGUGAGCUGUCCAGGAGGUGGGAGGGUCUGGGAGGGUCUGCUGCUGAUUGGCUGGAAUGUGUCUGACUGUGAGGUACAGGGUCAAAGUUUACUCAAUGAUGAGUCCGUGGCGAACCGUUCGGGACAUCACUAAUUCCCAUACAACAGCACACACAUGCAAAACAGGUGUUGUCUUGAGCACACCUAAUGCAACUGAUCAAGGGCUUCAUUGGUUGCUCCAGGUGUGCUUGAACUGGAACACAUGAAAUACCUGAACUGGCUAAGGGUUUGUUGAGUGUCACGUUUGACUGAAUGUUAGAAAUAUGUCAAAAGAAUAGUCCACAAAGUUACAAGAAUUAUCACCUUUCACAAAAAAAAGAACAGGAUACAAAAAGGCAGGGAAGUCACUGAAUGUCCACUGGAAGCACAGUUUGCAAGUUCAGAGUUGAAGAAACAGUGGUUACACUACUUGGAUGGGGCAGAAAAGGGAAACUAUCAAUGACUGCAACCAGAUUUCUGAAAAGGCAGGCUGUGAAAAAUCAUUGAGUGACUGCAAACGACCUGCAGCAAGACUUGGUGGCAGCAGGCACUGAGGUUUCCAUGCCAGAACUCCACUACUGACCCAAAAGCACAAGAAAAGUUGUUUGCAAUAUGCUCAGAAUCAUACAAAUAAGUCACAGAAGUUAUGGGAUUAUGGAGCGAUGAAACAAAACUGGAACUUUUCAGCCCAGUGGAUCAGUGGUAUGUCUGGAGGAAGGGAACACGCUGCCUACAGUUAGGCAUGGUGGUAGCUUAGUGAUACUGUGGGGCUGCUUUGCAUUAUCUGGCACUGGAAACCUGAAGAGUGUGGAAGGCAAGAUGGAUUCCUUGAAGUAACUUGAAAUCCUAUGAGAAAAGGUGAAGCUUGGGCGUCAUUGGACCUUUCAACAAUACAAUGAUCCCAAGCAUACCUCAAAUUCCACCAAGGCGUUUUUGCAGAUGAAGUCCUGGAAAAUUCUAUAGUGGUCAAGACUUAAACUUCAUAGAAAAUCUUUGGGGGUAUUUGAAGACGUCGGUUGCAGCACGCCAACCCAAGAAUAUUACUGAACUGGAGGUCAUUGGUCUUGAUCAAUGGGCUAAAAUCCCUCAGAAAUGUUGCUAGAAGCUGGUGUCUGGUUGAGCAUCUUGUUUGCUGCAGGCCAUAACAGCAAAAGGGUGCAAUGCUAAGUACUAAAGAUGUUUUAUGGAAGGUGUUAAAUAAUUUUGAGACUGGAGAAGUUAUUAGAAGUUGCAUUUUCUGUUGAAUUUAGGUAAACCACUUUAAGCAUUUGUUGUGUUGAGCUAUUUCAAUUGCUUUUGUUUGAUUUGUUCAUUAAAACAUUUUGACAAUAGAGGGCGGGGCCUGGGCAUCAUGGCGGCUGGCUGCACAUAGAGUAAGCUCCCAGCUUGACUCACAUACUCCGACUAUUUUGCUGACAGCCAGCUCGCCACAAACAACUUACCCAGCUACAUACCAUUGUCUGGUGCCCUGGGGGGAAGCUCCUGAGACUUUGUGCGACUUACCAACUUGAAUUUCCCACGGAGAUCCCACUGCGGUCUACAAUCGCUGCAGGACGGGUUACAUAGUUACAGAGCUGAAAAGAGACUUGCAUACAUCAAGUUCAGUCUUCCUCACAUUUGUCUUUUGCUGUUGAUCCAAAAGAAGGCAAAAAAAACCCAGUUUGAAGCACUUCCUAUUUUGCAAUAAGCUAGGAAAAAAAAUCCUUCUUGACCCCAUAAUGGCAGUCGGAUUUAUCCUUGGAGUAAGCAAUUUUUACCAUACUUGAAAGCUUAUAUCCUUGAAUAUUCUGUUUUUGCAAGUAUGCAUCUAGUUGCUGUUUGAACAUCUGUAUGGACUCUAAUAAAACCACUUCUUCAGGCAGAGAAUUCCACAUCCUUUGUGUUCUUACAGUAAAAAAACCCUUUCCUUUGCCUUAGACAAUCUCAUUUCUUUCAGUCUAAACGCAUGACCUUGUGUCCUAUGUAAAGUCCGGUUUGUGAAUAGAUUUCCACACAAUGGUUUGUAUUGGCCCCGAAUAUAUUUGUAUAAUGUUAUCCCUCUCAGGUGAUGUUUUUCUAAACAAAAUAGGUUUAAAUCUGUUAACCUUUCUUCAUAGCUGAUAUGUUCCAUUCCUUUUAUUAAUUUUGUAGCCUGCCUCUGCACUUUUCUAGUGCCAUAAUAUCCUUGUUUAGAACAGGUGCCCAAAAUUGCACAGCAUGUUCAAUAUAUGGUCUUACAAGUGAUUUAUAAAGAGGCAAAAUUAUAUUCUCAUCCCGAGAAUGAAUGCCCUUUUUCAUGCAUGACAAUACCAUACUGGCCUUAGCCACUGCUGAUUGACAUUGCACAUUGUUGCAUAGUUUGUUGUCUAUAACAAUUCCCAAUUCCUUUUCGAGUGUUGUUAGCCCUAAUUCGCUUCCAUUAAGGAUAUACGUUGCUUGUGUAUUCUUUACGACGAAGUGCAUAACUUUGCAAUUUUCAACAUUAAAUUUCAUCUGCCAUUUGAGUGCCCAGUCCCCCAGUCUAUCUAAAUCCCUCUGCAGCAAAGUAAUAUAUUGCUCACAUUUUAUUAUUUUACAGAGGUUUGUGUCAUCUACAAACACUGAAACAUGACUUUCAAUGCUUUUUUCAAGAUCAUUUAUAAAACAUGUUAAAUAGAAGAAUCCCAGAACAGAACCCUGAGGGACACCACUUGCCACCUCUGUCCAGCUUAAAAAUUUACCAUUAAUGACAACUCUUUGUACUCUAUUUUUAAGCCAAUGUUCUACCCAAGAACAAGCAUUUUCAUCUAGACCGAUUUCCUUGAGUUUGAACACUAAUCUAUUGUGUGGAACUGUAUCAAGUGCCUUGGCAAAUUACAAAUAGAUCACAUCCACUGCAACACCUUGAUCUGUACUUCUACUUACUUCUUCGUAGAACGCAAUCAAGUUAGUUUGACAUGAUCUGUGAUUCAUAAAACCAUGCUGAUUUUUGCUGNNNNNNNNNNNNNNNNNNNNNNNNNNNNNNNNNNNNNNNNNNNNNNNNNNNNNNNNNNNNNNNNNNNNNNNNNNNNNNNNNNNNNNNNNNNNNNNNNNNNACAUGGUAUGGGUCCCUGGGGCGGAGUAUUUGGAGAGCAGGGUGGGCUAAUGCUCCAACAUCACUAGUUGCUGUGUAACAGACCACAAUUUAGAUCUGACUUAAGAGUUCACUAAUUGGCACUCACCUGUAGCUGGUCAAUUAGUAGACAGGCCUUUAAAAGAAGAGGGCAGCCUGCUGCAGAGUGAGGGAGAAAAAGACAGCUAGGAGAGUGAAUGGCAAUUGUGUUUAUUGCAAAGCCAUUUCUUUUUUUUGGAAAAUUGGUAAGUGGGAAAGCCACCCAAUUACAGAUAGUAAUUCCUGUCUAGUAAGAGCUCAAGUAAGAGCAAGGGAUUUUGUUUGUUUGUUAUUAUUUAAAGCACCUGUUUUCUUAUUGAAUAAAAAGGAAAACCGAGCUGAAUGUGUCCUGGACUUUGUAUACCCUAGAAGGCUGUGGUUACUGCAAGAUCUGUGACAAUCCUACCUGUAAAAGAGGUGGUUUGUUACAUAUGGUGGAGAAUGCGGGCAGCCACGUAAGCCUGAGGGUAGAAGUCAUUUAAAGCUCAACAUGGAGGAUGUUAUCAAGGCUCUGAUCCAAUCCACCUCUGUGCAACAGUAGGCUAACAGGAGAGCUGCAGAAAACAGUGCAGCCCUGCAGCAACUGGUGCUGGCUCAGGCAGAGUGUGCUAAAGUCCUGACCAAAACACAGAUGGAGUGCACUGAGUCCUUGGUGAAACAGAUUGUUGUGACACAAGCGGAGAUGUUUAAAGUAGCCCGUGAGGAGCAGCAAAAAGUCACCCAGGGACUACAACAGGAAAUCCAAGCUAUCUCUGAAAAACUGAAUGGAGACCCUGAUGGAAGAUACCAGGGACCAAAGGUGAUUCGAGCGAGCCACUAUCUUCAGAAGAUGACCGCAUCAGAUGAUGUGGAGGCGUACCUUCUGGCAUUUGAGCGCACUGCUGAAAGGGAGGGAUGGCCGGCUGGUGAGUGGGCAAGCAUACUGGCACCGUUCCUAAGUGGAGAACCACAGAAGGCAUAUUAUGACCUAGAACCAGCCGAUGCAAGUAACUACAGCAAAUUGAAAGCUGAAAUCUUGGCACGACUGGGUGUAACCUCUGCAGUACGUGCCCAAAGGUUCCACUCAUGGUCAUAUUCUUCAGACAAAGCCGCAUGUUCCCAAAUGUUUGACCUCAUACACCUUGCACGGAAAUGGCUACAACCUAUAAUCCAUUCAGCUAGCCACAUUGUGGAAACCUUAGUAAUGGACUGGUUUUUGCAUGCCAAAGUGACCCCCAUACAGCUGACCAACUGAUUGCCUUGGUGGAAAGAUAUGUGGCUGCAGGAGAACUGCUAUGUCCUACUUCACAGGAAAACCCCCGCAAUCCUAAGCCCCACGAUUCUGCGAGACCUGGUAAGACUGUUCAAGGUUUAAGGGGAGCUUAAGAGCUGCAGCUCUAUACACAAAACACCAGGGGGGCAUCCAGGUCUAAUAGGCCUGUGAGAGGAACUAAUUGGUGGUCAGAUUUUACUGUCAAAUGUUUCAAGUGCAAAGAGGAUGGUCAUAUGGCCAAAGACUGUCCAUUGAAGGAUGAACCUAUGGAAUGCAAUAUGGGCAAAGAUGAGGGAGCACGUUCAUUUUUGCUCAACUGUUAUGGUACUGUUAACAAUGACUAUGAUAAUAACCCUCAUAAAUGCUGUGUAACUGUGAAUGGAAAAAUGUCUAAAGCAUUACUUGAUUCAGGUAGUAUGGUUACGUUGGUAGCAGAGUCUAUAAUACCUUGUGUAAAACCUGAUCAUGUACAGAAAAUAGGCAUUAUCUGUGUUCAUGGUGAUAAAAAGGAAUACCCCACUGCGGAAGUAAAUAUUGGAACCCAGUAUGGGGAUUAACCAGUAUUAAUAGGAGAUAACCCAGCUCAAACUAGUGAGGAGCCUACUAAUACUGCAGACAAGGAUAAGGACUUAAUUGAUAUUGGAAUCAGUCCAGGUAAUUUUAAAAGUGCUCAGUGGGAAGAUCCCACUUUAGUGACAGCUGGAAAUUAUAUUAAAGUUGUAAAUGGGGUUGCUAAUCAGCCAGGAGAAGCCCUACCGUUCCCCUAUUUUGAAGUACAAAAUGACCUAAUUUACCGUGUAGAAAAAAGGGAUUCAGGCAUCAUUAAAGGACCACUUUAGUGCCAGGAAAACAUACUCGUUUUCCUGGCACUAUAGUGCCCUGAGGGUGCCCCCACCCUCAGGGACCCCCUCCCACCCGGCUCUGGAAGGGGGAAAGGGGUAAAAACUUACCUUUUUCCAAUGCUGGGCGGAGAGCUCUCUGCCUCCUCUCCUCCUCCGUUACGCCCCGCCGGCUGAAUGCGCACGCGCGGCAAGAGCUGCGCGCGCAUUCAGCCGGUCUCAUAGGAAAGCAUUUACAAUGCUUUCCUAUGGACGCUGGCGUGCUCUCACUGUGAAAAUCAGUGAGAAGCACGCAAGCGCCUCUAGUGGCUAUCAAUGAGACAGCCACUAGAGGAUUAGGGGGAAGGCUUAACCCAUUAAUAAACAUAGCAGUUUCUCUGAAACUGCUAUGUUUAUUAAAAAAUGGGUUAACCCUAGCUGGACCUGGCACCCAGACCACUUCAUUAAGCUGAAGUGGUCUGGGUGCCUAGAGUGGUCCUUUAAGCAGAUGUUGGUUCCUCAGACUUACCAAAAUACUUGCUAAAGUUGGCUCACAGCCACAUAUUAGGGGGACACUUGGGAGUCGAAAAAACUAGAGAGAGAGAGAGAGAGAGAGAGUCCUUAGAAGGUUUUACUGGCCUGGAGUGUUUGCUGCUAUUACAAACUAUUGCUCCUCAUGUCCUGAGUGCCAGUACAGGGCUCCUUUCAAGACUUUUCGUAGUCCACUUGUACCCUUACCCAUAAUUAAUGUGCCUUUUGAAAGGAUCGCUAUGGACUUAGUGGGGCCACUGGUAAAGUCUGCUAGGGGACACCAAUAUAUAUUAAUAAUCUUGGACUAUGCAACUCGCUACCCUGAGGCCAUUCCCUUGCGUAAUACCUCUGCAAAGUUAAUAGCUAAGGAACUUGUGUUGAUGUUCAGUAGGGUGGGUAUCCCUAAAGAAAUCCUGACAGACCAGGGGACCCCGUUCAUGUCCAGAGUCACAAGAGUUGUGCAGGCUCUUGCAGGUUAAACAUCUUAAGACCUCAGUAUAUCACCCACAGACUGAUGGUUUAGUAGAGAGGUUCAACAAAAUCCUUAAGAGUUUGCUAUGCAAGGUAAUUGAUGCAGUUGGAAGAAAUUGGGAUUUUUUAUUGCCAUAUCUACUGUUUUCCAUUAGGGAAGUUCCACAGGCCUCCACGGGCUUCUCUCCUUUUGAAUUGUUAUAUGGAAGACAUCCCAGGGGAAUAUUGGAUAUUGCUAAGGAGAUCUGGGAAGAGGAGACUACUCCUCACAGGAGUGUAAUUGAGCAUAUAGCUCAAAUGCAGGAUAGAAUGGCCACCAUCAUGCCUAUUGUCAGGGAAGACAUGCUGGAAGCCCAGCAGGCUCAGAAAAACAGCUAUAACCAUAAUGCUAGAUUCAGUGUUCCAACCUGGAGACAGGGUAUUGGUUCUGGUCCCUACUGUGGAGAAUAAGUUCCUUGCGACUUGGCAUGGACCCUAUGAAAUAAUAGAAAAAGUGAGUGAUGUCAAUUAUAAAGUCAGACAACCAGGAAGAAGAAAGCCUGAACAGUUGUAUCAUAUAAAUCUGUUAAAGCCAUGGAAGGAUAGGGAGGUCCUGGUUGCUUUAAAACCUUCAGAACCUCCUAUAGUAGAGCCAGAGGUGAACGUAUCUGAGAUGCUGUCUGUACAUCAAAAGCAAGAGGUCAGAUAUUUCAUCAGAAGAAAUAGGGAUGUUUUCUCGGUAGUUCCAGGAAAGACUAAGGUGAUUAAACAUGACAUAAUAACCGAACCAGGGAAAAGAGUUAACCUCAAACCCUAUAGAAUUCCUGAGGCCCGGAGGGAGGUUAUAAACUUAGAGGUUGAGAGCAUGUUAAAACUUGGAGUCAUUGAAGAAUCCCAGAGUAACUGGAGUAGUCCUAUUGUAUUGGUGCCAAAACCUGAUGGCACAUGGAGGUUCUGUAAUGACUACCGCAAGUUAAAUGUCAUCUCAAAAUUUGAUGCUUACCCAAUGCCCAGAGUUGAUGAGUUAAUAGAAAGACUGGGUAAAGCUCGUUAUCUAACAACCUUGGGUUUAACAAAGGGUUACUGGCAGGUCCCUCUCACUGAAAGAGCCAAAGAAAAGACAGCCUUUUCAACACCCAGUGGCCUGUUUCAGUACACUGUACUGCCAUUUGGGUUACAUGGGGCACCUGCCCAGGGCCGUCUUUAAUAUUGAUUGGACCCCGGGCAAGCAUCUGUUUGGGCCCCCUGGGCAUGCAAUCACUCCCUCCACCCCAACCUAGAGGCGAAACUAAUGUAGAGAGUGCCUUGGUGCAACAAAAAAAAAUUCAGGCCUGCCCUGUAGCACAAGAGUAAAGAAAAGAUAGAUCCCCAUCUGUCAUACAACUCCUGCAAAGCUAUGCCAGCUGGGGAUCUACCAUCCUUGCAGGGUUGUAUUUUUGAGCAGUGUUUGUGCAAAUGAAUGUCAGCAUGUUAUUGUAUAGAGUGUAUGUGUGCAUGUAGGAGUGUAUUUGUAUGUACUGUUACCAUUGGAAUGCAGUGGUGUAGUUGUGUGUAGUGUUUGCAUUUUAAUGCAGGGAUGUGUGAUUGUUUGUAGUGUUGGCUUUUAAAUGCAGGUGUACUUUUGUGUGUAGAGUUGGUGUUUGUAUAUAAUUUUAGUGUUUUAAUACAGGAAUGUGUUUGCAUGUAAUGUUUGUAUUUGCAUGCAGGGGUGUUUGGAUGUAGUGUUGUCUUUUAAAUACAUGUGUACAUUUGUGUGUAGUAUUAGUGUUUCAGCAAACUGGUGUGUUUGUAAUGUUUGUGUUUGCAGGGGUCUGUUUGCAUGUUGUGUGAUUUCUAUAACACAUAUACACAUACACAUUAACACGCAGAUACACAUAUGCUCACACUGACACAUGCUCACACCUUGACACAUACUGGCACAUACACACACACUCAGAUACACACCCUUUGACACACAGAUACAAGCACUUUGAUAUACACACACUGGCACAAUACACACACACACACACUGACACAGGUAUACACACACACACUCAGAUACACACAUACAUAAAGGUAUAAAUGCAGGGGUGUAUAUGUGUACAGUGCUAGAGAUGGAAUGUAGGAAUGUAUUUGUGUUGGCAUUAAAAUGCUGGGAUGUAUGCAUUACCACACACUCAGAUGCACACUUACACACACACACCGAAACACACACACACAGGUGCACAUACAGGUGUAUGAGGUAUACAUACACACAGAAACACUGACACACAGACAAACACAGCCAGAUACACACAAGGACAUAAACACAGCCAGAUACACACAUAUAUAUGUGUACAUUUACAUAUUUUAAUCUCUGCCUUCUAGCAGCUCUUGGACAGCAACUCCCAGUAACCUUGGCCAAUAUAAUGUCUCAACUCUGUUCUUACAUACCCUGGUCCAGAAUUUGGCAAAAGUGACAUUUGGAAAUGGUAUACAGCCUUUGAUAACACUUGAUGCAAUAAUAUGUUAAAAUAAAUACUUUUUAAAUUUAUAUUUAAUAGGGAACUGUCAGGUUCUUCUAGGAUUUCUAACAUGUACUUAUUCCCUGUGUGUUACAUUACAAACACCAACACACUUAAAUAAAAGUGAUAUCAGAAAUUAGCAAAACAAAAAACAAAACAUAUUUAGCCACCCUCCUGUCUCCUUACAUUUUGGGUACAGAAAGGUGGCUUCCCUGGGGUCCAGUGAGACCCUGCUGGCCCGGGCUGAUGGGAGUCUGCCAUCAGCUUUCUCAGUCCCUCUCCCCCACAAUGCUUGCAUCCUCCUCCAUGUGGUGUGUGCCUCCUCCCCAGCGGCACUGAGAAGGAAGUGAUCAGUUCUUACUGGGAGCAAGCAAUCUGACCUCACUUCCUCCCAGCAUGCCCAGGAAACAAAGAGACUCACAGGGCAGUAUGUGAGGGGGCUAGCUGUGAGUAUGUAGUCAGCCACCCCCCAUAUAACAGGGGCCUGGGCCGGUCCAGAGCAGUAUUAAAGGGCUGUGGCCCCUGAUUACCUCAGGUGCCGCAGGGGGCCCAUGGGGCAGCUGCCCUAGGGCCCCCAGGAGUAACUGGGCCCGGGGCAGCUGCCCCUUUUGCCCCUCCUUAAAGACGGCCCUGCACCUGCCACAUUCCAACGAAUGAUGGACAGAAUUCUUAAACCUCAUGUUCGUUAUGCUGCAGCAUACUUGGAUGAUGUUGUCAUCCACAGUGCAGACUGGAAUUCCCACCUCCCCAAAGUUCAAGCGGUGCUUGAUGCUAUCCGCUCAGCGGGCUUAACUGCCAAUCCUUCCAAGUGUACGAUUGGUUUAGAGGAAGCAAAGUACUUAGGUUAUUCUAUUGGGAGGGGUUUGGUUAAACCACAGGAAGCCAAAGUAGAAGCCAUACAAAAAUGGCCACAGCCCCUUACAAAGAAACAAGUAAAGGCAUUUUGGGGUUUAAUUGGAUAUUAUAGGUGGUCCAUCCCAGAUUUUGCUACCAUUGCUGCACCUCUAACAAACCUUAUUAAAGCAAAAUCCCCAGUCAUAGUUAAAUGGUGCCCUGAGGCAGAAAAGGCUUUUAAGAGUCUGAAGGAAGCUAUCUGUAGCCAUCCUGUCUUGGUGACCCCAGAUUUUUCCAGGGACUUUAUAGUUCAGACAGAUGCUUCUGAUGUUGGCUUGGGGGCUGUUCUUUCAUAGGAAUACCAGGGUGAAGAACACCCUGUUUUCUUUUUGAGCAGGAAGUUAAACCCACAUGAGAAGAACUACUCUAUUGUUGAAAAAGUGUCUUGCUAUUAAGUGGGCAUUAGACUCUCUUAAAUACUACCUGCUAGGCAGAAAGUUUCGAUUGAUAACAGACCAUGCACCUCUGACAUGGAUGUAUCAGAACGAGGAAAAUAACUCCAGAGUAACCAGAUGGUUUUUGAGUUUACAAUCUUUUAAUUUCACUGUGGAACACAGGGUUGAUCUGCAACAAGGUAAUGCUGAUGGGCUUUCGAGGGUACACUCUCUGAUUUCCAUGGUCGCUCAAACCCAUGGGUAUGAGCUGGGGGGGGGAGGAUAUGUGAGCGUAAAAGUGGAAUUGUGGUUGAUGGAAGAUACAUCAGGCCUGAUUUGCUAAACAGCAACCUGAGAAUUUUCAGUUAAAUGCCCCAGGGAGAGAUGUUAGAGUUUGCAAUCUACAUUGCUGAGGUUCUGCAAAACAUGGUAUGGGUCCCUGGGGCGGAGUAUUUGGAGAGCAGGGUGGGCCAAUGCUCCAACAGCACUAGUUGCUGUGUAACUGUGACGAUACCUUACCUGUGUCUGCCGAUCCCGCGCAGCACGGCGGUUUCCCCGGCUGCUUCCGGGAGGCGGCGCAGCCUGUUAGACGCUGCCCACUCGCGGCGAAAUCAGUUUUAUGACGCGCCGACGUCAUGAUAGUUUUGCCGCGAAAAUUCAAACGCGGUCACGCUCCCGGACCUUUGGGGGCGUGGCUUUAAAGUGACACACACAUCAGUAUAAAAGGGCAUCCCUGUCCACCCCUCAGUGCCCUAGUGUGGUUCUUGAUUGUUCCUCUGGUGCUCUUAUACUUAGGUAACAGUUUUUCUGGUAUUUUGACCCUUGGCUUCCGUACUGACGAUUCUCCUAUCUGGCUCCCCGACUUUUGGCUUGGCUUUCUCGUUUAUUCUGAUUUCUGUACUCCCUUGAUCCAUGACUUUUCUCUUGACUAUUCUCUGACGUUAAGUCCGGCCACCCUAAGGUCCGGUAUACGUCCAUUUCUGGGUUACCAUCUGUGUGAAGGGGUCACUGUCGUGACAUUACACUAAGGCCAUGGACCCUGCAGGUGCUAAUCCUCAUGGCCCGGUUCCUGAUAAUCGGUUUGAGGAACUGGACCAUCGUAUGGACCAGUUUGCUGUAGCUGUUCAGACCCUGUUAGCUCGGACUGCACAUCUACAGCCAGAGGACCAUAUCCCGGGUCAUAGACCUCAGGAACCUCAUAUGGAGAUGGCGGCAGGGGGGGCUUCUGCCCAUGCCACAUCCCCUCUCCGUUAUGGAGGUGAUCCCAAAGGUUGUCGGGAUUUCCUCAAUCAAAUUAGUAUUAACUUUGAACUUCAUCCUAAUGAUCUUUUUUUACCGAAAGAUCAAAGAUUGGUUAUAUUAUAAUGUUGUUAGUCGAUAGAGCACUAGUUUGGGCCAAUCCAUUGUGGGAAAACGACAAUCCCAUAGUUUUUAACUACGCAGAGUUUGUCGCAGCCUUUAGGAGAACAUUUGAUCCCCCUGGAAGACGUACUAAUGCUGCUAAAACCGUCUUACGAAUGAGACAAGGGUCUCGUUCCCUGGUUGACUAUGCCCUGGAAUUCCGCACUCAUGCUGCAGAGGUCAGAUGGAAUGAGCAGGCCUUUGUAGAUGUGUUCAUGAAUGGAUUUUCUGACAAGCUUUUAGACGAGGUAGCUACCCGAGACCUCCCUAAUGUGUUAGAGGAAUUGAUUAGAUAUCUAGCACAUAUAGACGAACAUCUCCGACAUAGACAAAACACCAGGGAUAGACCUAGGCGUGUGCCGGAAUGCCUGGCAUUGACGUUCCCUUCGUCUGAGGAAACCACUGUCGCUCCAGCAGAACCCAUGCAAUUGGGAGCCACACGGUUGCCUGAACCUGAGAGACAAUAUAGACGAAGGGAGGGACUUUGUAUGUAUUGUGGGAAAAGAGGACAUACCCACCUACACUGCCCAAGCAGGCCGGAAAACUCCAACGCCUAAGCCCUCAAGGAGGACGGGCCUUGGGUGUAACGUGUAUGUCCUCCUUCCAAGACAGGAAAGAGCUCAGGCUUCUUCUACCGAUAACCAUAGAAUGGGAGGGAAAGAUAAUAACUACCUCUGCGCUGAUAGAUUCUGGGGCAGCUGAGAACUUUAUCGACCGUACUUUCGGCCAGCAUCACAACCUCCCAUUUCGAGAAAGAUCAACACCCUUGGCCGUUGAGGCCAUAGAUGGUAGACCACUAUCCAUUCCUUUUAUUACUCAAGAAUCCAAACCCUUAGUCUUGACUGUAGGUUUGUUGCAUAAAGAAACCAUAACCCUACAGCAAAUACCUUCUCCCACCUUUCCGAUUAUACUUGGGUUUCCUUGGCUUACCAAGCAUAAUCCUCUAAUUAACUGGGAGAGAAAAGAGAUUGUGAAAUGGGGUGACUAUUGUUAUAAGGAGUGUAUCAGUCGAGUUAAACCUAUAGGACUCCUCAACGUUCCUACCAUGGAACCAAUAACCACUCGAGUACCCGAACCAUAUCGGGAUCUCAAGGCAGUCUUUGAACCAAGGGAAGCAAACAAAUUACCACUACAUCAUUCUUACGGCUGCGCUAUUGAUUUGUUACCCGGUACUAUGCCCCCUAGGGGUACCGUGUAUCCCCUCUCUGUGACAGAAAACAAAGUACUUGAAGAGUACAUCACAGAGAAUUUGAAGAAGGGUUUUAUUACCAAGUCAUCCUCCCCGGCUGGUGCAGGGUUUUUCUUUGUUUCCAAAAAGGAAGGUGACUUGAGACCCUGCAUCGACUAUCGGGGAUUAAAUAAAAUAACAGUAUGAAACGCAUAUCCAAUUCCGCUCAUUACUGAGCUUUUUGAUAGGUUGAAGGGAGCAACCAUAUUCACUAAACUAGAUUUACGGGGAGCUUAUAAUCUAGUUCGAAUUAAGAAGGGACAUGAGUGAAAAACGGCUUUUAAUACUCGCUAUGGCCAUUAUCAAUAUAGGGUUAUGCCCUUCGGCUUAUGCAACGCCCCGGCAGUCUUUCAAGAUUUCAUAAACGAUGUAUUAAGGGACUAUCUACAAACGUUUGUUGUUGUCUAUUUAGACGACAUACUCAUCUACUCUAAGAAUAUCAAGGAGCACCAGAGACACGUUAGGAUAGUUCUAUCUAAAUUAUUGAAAAACGGACUCUACUGUAAACUAGAAAAAUGUUUGUUUGACGUGGAGAAGGUUAAUUUCUUGGGUUACAUAAUUUCAGGUUCAGGCUUUCAAAUGGAACCUAAAAAAACUGGAAGCAAUUUUAAAUUGGCCCAUACCCAUUGGACUUAAAGCCAUCCAACGUUUCCUGGGGUUCGCUAAUUACUAUAGAAAGUUUAUCAGAGGAUUUUCCUCUAUUACCGCUCCUAUUACUGCUAUGACAAAGAAGAAUAGAAGUCAUACAGUGUGGAGUACCGAAGCUAAGGAAGCCUUUGAAAAAUUGAAGCUAGCCUUUUCUUCAGCCCCGGUGUUAAGUCACCCGAAUCCUUUGCGUCCUUUUUUGUUAGAAGUGGAUGCUUCAGAGACAGGGAUAGGGGCUGUACUCUCUCAGAGAUCCUCGAAUGAUCAACCCCUGCAUCCCUUUGGCUAUUUCUCUAAAAAACUGACGGAAACAGAACGAAGAUAUGAUAUAGGAGAUAGGGAAUUGUUGGCUAUCAUUUCAGCGCUCAAAGAAUGGCGGCAUCUAUUAGAGGGGUCAUCUGAACCGAUCAUCAUCCUCACUGAUCACAAGAAUCUUUCCUAUUUUGGAGAGGCAAAAAGAAUGUCUGACAGGCAGAUUCGUUGGUCUUUGUUCCUAACCCGUUUUAACUACAUAGUGAUGUACAGACCCGGUUCUAAGAAUACGAAAGCAGAAGCCUUAUCUCGACAACAUGAGCACCUAUCUCCUCCAGUAACCCAUUUAUCUUCCAUAAUCCCUACUUCACAAAUAGUCGCCACAGUCCAUACUAAAAUCUCUUCUAGCUUAAUGGAAGUAUUGUCCAAAUGCCAAGACCACAACUCCAUAACUAUCCCUCAGGGGAAAUUAUACGUACCUUUAAAUUAUAGGAGACGAAUUCUAUCCUUGGUACACGACUCUAAGAUUGUCGGUCAUCCCGGUAUCCAUAAGACAGAAGCACUACUUGAAAAGCAAUUCUGGUGGCCCUCUUACAAGAAGGACAUCCGAGAAUAUGUCCUGGCCUGUAACAUCUGUUCCUCUAAUAAAUCUCCUAAAAGUCGCCCUUUAGGCCUCCUCAUGCCGUUGCCUAUUCCCGAAAUGCCAUGGUCGAGUAUCGCCAUGGAUUUCGUAGUAGACCUGCCACCUUCAAAAAAUCACCGGGUAAUCCUAACUAUCAUCGAUAGAUUUUCCAAAAUGACCCACCUAGUCCCUUUAAUUAAACUUCCUUCAUCCUCCGAACUGGCCACGAUAUUUAUAAGGGAGGUGGUUCGUUUACACGGUAUCCCUACAUAUAUAGUCUCUGACAGAGGCUCACAGUUUAUUUCCAGGUUUUGGAAAGCGUUUUGUGAUCAGUUGGGUAUCAAACUUAAUCACUCCUCUUCAUACCAUCCCCAAUCCAACGGAGUUACAGCGAGAAUGAAUCAAUCACUAGAACAGUACCUUCGCUGCUUCACCUCCGAUCACCAAGAUGAUUGGAUGGAGUUACUCCCUUGGGCUGAAUUUGCCCACAAUAACUGGGUUCACGAGUCGACACAACAUAGCCCCUUUUCUAUAAAUUAUGGCUUUGACCCUAUUACUCUUCCGAGUUCCUUUUCAUCCUCGGCAGUGCCAAGCGUUGACUACACUGUAAAGAAUAUGAAAGAAACUUGGAUAGGGGUCAAGCGUAUCCUGACUCAAAAGGCCGAUGCUCAAAAAAGUAAAGCGGACACUCGGCGCAAAAAUGCUCCAAAUUUUAUAGUAGGGGAUAGAGUGUGGUUGAGUACACGCAAUAUUAAAUUACGAGUUCCCUCUAUGAAAUUCGCUCCGCGAUUCAUUGGUCCUUUUAGGAUUCUCCAACGGAUUAAUCCAGUCUGUUAUCGCCUGGACUUACCGGCUAAGAUGAGGAUACCCAAUUCCUUUCAUGUUUCUCUUCUGAAACCCAGGACUCCUCUUUCUACACUCAUUGAUGGCCAAGACGAGGUUAAAUCUAUUUUAGACUCUUGUGUCUCUAGAGGUCGGCUCCAGUAUCUGGAUUGGAAGGGAUACGGCCUCGAGGAAAGGUCAUGGGUGGAUGCCUCGGACGUGCACGCGCCUCGCCUAGUCCGUUCCUUUGCUAGGCGUCGUUCUCGCGGGCCCUGUCCCCCCCUGCCCUGGGGGCGGUCCUCGAGUGGGGGUACUGUGAUGAUACCUUACCUGUGUCCGCCGAUCCCGCGCAGCACGGCGGUUUCCCCGGCUGCUUCCGGGAGGCGGCGCAGCCUGUCAGAUGCUGCCCGCUCACGGCGAAAUCAGUUUUAUGACGCGGCGCAUGCGCGCCGACGUCAUGAUAGUUUUGCCGCGAAAAUUCAAACGCGGUCACGCUCCCGGACCUUUUGGGGGCGUGGCUUUAAAGUGACACACACAUCAGUAUAAAAGGGCAUCCCUGUCCACCCCUCAGUGCCCUAGUGUGGUUCUUGAUUGUUCCUCUGGUGCUCUUAUACUUAGUUAACUGUUUUUCUGGUAUUUUGACCCUUGGCUUCCGUACUGACGAUUCUCCUAUCUGGCUCCCCGACUUUUGGCUUGGCUUUCUCGUUUAUCCCGAUUUCCGUACUCCCUUGAUCCUUGACUUUUCUCUUGACUAUUCUCUGACGUUAAGUCCGGCCACCCUAAGGUCCGGUAUACGUCCAUUUCUGGGUUACCAUCUGUGUGAAGGGGUCACUGUCGUGACAGUAACAGACCACAAUUUAGAUCUGACUUAAGAGUUCACUAAUUGGCACUCACCUGUAGCUGGUUAAUUAGUAGACAGGCCUUUAAAAGAAGAGGGCAGCCUGCUGCAGAGUGAGGGAGAAAAAGACAGCUAGGAGAGUGAACGACAAUAGUGUUUAUUGCAAAGCCAUUUCUUUUUUUUGGAAAAUUGGUAAGUGGGAAAGCCACCCAAUUACAGAUAGUAAUUCCUGUCUAGUAAGAGCAAGGGAUUUUGUUUGUUUGUUGUUAUUUAAAGCACCUGUUUUCUUAUUGAAUAAAAAGGAAAACCGAGCUGAAUGUGCCCUGCACUUUGUAUACCCUAGAAGGCUGUGGUUACUGCAAGAUCUGUGACAAUCCUACCUGUAAAAGAGGUGGUUUGUUACAAGAUAAUGCCUCUAACGUCUAACUGCUCAAUUCUCUGCCAUUUAGGAGUUAAAACGUCUUUGUGUCUGUUCUGUUCACGCAGACUGCAUUAAAAAAAUUGUUUAAUUUUCAAUCAUAUUUUACUUGCUUUAGAAGUUUUUAUCUCCUGCUUUGUAAAUUGAACUUAAAUUACAUACAGGAGGCUCGUGCAAGGUCUAACAAGAUAUUAAUACUGCAGGAGAUAAGAAAUCCUAAAUUAAAGCGUCACUGUCAUGCCGAACUUACCUUUCUUUAAUCGAUUCCUCUUCUUUCCUUCAGGAUCUGUUCUUCAUUUCUUCUUGUCUGCUCUAGUUUUCAUAAGACAAAGUAGGGACUAUUUGUCUUAUGGAGGUUUCCUAUGCCUGACCAUCUCUGACCAGCGGAGGAGCAAAGUGUGCUUCAUUUCCAGUGGUCAGAGCAAUUUUCCCAAAAUUCUCACCUUUCCUACGUGUUCCCGCUAAGCCUCCUUUCACUUUUCCCGAACUUCCUGUCAUUUAGACAGAAAGCCAGUGAAACUACAGAACGAGAACAGUUUCUCCAUUCGUGUUAGGAUGCAAUUCAGGACUUUGUUCGGAUCAGAAUGAAUGAAACUCUGAUUAUUUUCGUGCCCAAGCCCCUAGUCACCCCCCCACCCAAACAAAAGAACUAAGUACCUGUAAAAUCUUUAUUUUUCAGCCCCAUAAAGGCCAAAUAAAAAUCCAUAAUAUUUAUCGAAUUUUUGAAAAUACAAACCAAAAAAAACACGAGCGCCAAAAAAAUAAGACGAAAAAGAAAAAAACUGACGCUACAAAAAUAAUCCAUCUUCAUCCAUGGAGGGCACGGCACAGACUGAGCUCCGCAGUGUGGGGAAAGGCUUAUAAAGCCUUCCCCUGCACUGCAAUUAGACUCAGAGAGCUCUGAUUGGUUGGUUUAAGACAACCAGAGUGCUCUGACAGGUAAAUGAAGAGACUGUCACAGCACUCUGAUUGGAGGCUUGAAAUCCAGGCUGUUUUCACUCCUCCCACGAGAAGAAUGCUGGGUCAGAGCAUUGACCCAGCAUUCCGCAUGCGUGAAAAACUGCUUCCCAGGUCCUACCUCUCACUAACGAAGGGUCUACUCAUCACAACUUACCACGGGACCACAAGGGCUGGCAAUGUCCCCCCUCCUUCACCAAAUGUAAGAUGAAGGGGGGGCGGGGAAAUUUUUUUUUCGCAAAUGCAUUUUAAAUAAAAUUAGCAAAAAUUACUCUUAUCCUACCCUCUCACAUACACACGUCUGCCCUCACAUACAUAUUGCACUCUUUACAAACACACACAGCACCCCCCCACCCCCACACACACAGCACCCUUUAUAUACACACACACAGCCCACCCAUCACAUACACACAUUGCACCCCUUACAUACACACAGAGCACCCCUCAUCAGUGGUGUAUCCUGGUUUUGUGCUGCACUAGGCAGGACAAAACUUAGGCAACCCCCUCCCCCGGCGCCACCCCCACCCAACCCUUCCCCCAUGCCCCACCUUCCAAAUACACACACACACACAGUCAGACACACACACACACAGUCAGACAAAGACACACACAGUCAGACAGUCAGAUACACACACACAUUAACACUUUUUUUUUAUUUACUCCCCCCCCCGCCUCCUUACCUUUGGGAGUGGCUGCCGGUCGGGCUGAUGGUCUGGCUACUGGGCGCUGGGCAGGCGGCUGGCGAGGGAGCACUUCCUGUGAGCGGUCUGCUCAGCUCCCUCGCGCACCGCAGAGUGAGGCUGGGACCCGGAAUAUGACGUCAUAUUCCGGCUCCCAGCCUCACUCUGCGGUGCGCGAGAGAGCUGAGCAGACCGCUCACAGGAAGAGCUCCCUCGCCAGCCGCCCACCCAGCCCAGCAUGUCUGUUAGCCACAAGGCUAACAAGACAUUUGACCUGGGCAUUUGGGGGCGGCGUUUUUUGCCGCCCCCUGAAAAAUGCCGCCCAAGGUAAAUGCCUUGUUUGCCUCACGGCUAAUAUGUCCCUGCCCCUCAUACAUACACAGCGCACCCCUCAUAUACACACAUUGCACCUCUCACAUACAUACAGAGCAACACUCACAUACACACAGGGCACCCCUUACACACACAGAGCACCCCUCAUACACACACAGCACACCCCUCAUACACACACAGCACACCCCUCACACACACACACACACUCAACCCCUCACAUACACACACUCAACCCCUCACAUUCAGACACAGCACCUCUCACACACACAGCACCACACACAUGGCACUCCCCACAUACUGCACCCCUCACACACUAUUAGCUUUGUUAUAUUUGGUUUUAUUGUUGUGAUAUUACUGCCAUUUGAUCCCUGAGGAAGGUCCACUGUUGGAAUGAAACGUGUAGGAUCUACAUUCCUCAAUUUUAUAUUCAAAAGCUGAUGGUGAUUGCUCAACUUUUUAUAAUAAAACUGCUGAUACUUUUUUCAACUUAUACCUACUGGAGUGUGAUAGAAUUUAUCUUGAUUCCAAGGCUCAAGCUUAUAGGUGUCAUAUAAUGAUAUCCUAUAUUAAAAUUGGCUUACUUGGACUCAGGAAAUGCUUGAUGCUUAAACAACACUUAAGACCAUAUAUGUCUAAGUUCCGGGAGCAGAGAGCCCCCACCUAAGAUGUCUCUGCUCUAAUCAUUUUGUUCUCUCUUACCUUGAAACUUAUUUGUUAUGUGUACAUGACACUCAUCUCUAUGUCUUAUCUGUACUCUCUUCCUAUUACUGUUCUAUGAGUAUUUGCACGUAAGCACUUACUUUUUAAUGUAUAAAACCCAGCUGAUGAAUAAAACGUCAGAGGCUUAUUUUGAAUACCAACAGGUGUCUGGUGUCUAAUUCUCGCUUCUCCAAGUGCACUUGUAACAACAAUUUGGGCUUCCUCUGAAUAUAACAAAGAUCAACAUUUCUGAUCCACAACAGGAGUCUUACUUUACAUCUAUUCCACUGGAGUGGAAGUAGUAGAUAAAGCCUCCCAACAACAUCGGGGGAGGCACCCUUGAGUGUAUUAUACGUCUCAAUCCUAUUUUGAACAGCCGUAUCCCACAUGUUUUUUGUCUUUCUAUAUAUGGUGUCAGGAAUACAUGUUUGUAUACCUGACACUAUAGUGUUCCUUUAAGCAAAAUAAAGGAACAUUCUGGUCACCAUAACAAAUUCAUCUAAAUGAAAAUGCUAUGAUGCCAGGAAGCCCCUGAGUACUCUCUCUCCUUUAAGUGAUUCCUUUAAGGUGCUCUCAAAUGGUUUAACCCCAAAGGCUUACUCCAGCUCCAGAUCUCCACGGUGCUCAGUGGUAUUUUGCUUCUGAAACGGAGUUUCAGGAAGUGCAGAUUGACGUCAGGCAUGGGUGCUGCAGAUUGGCUAGAGUGGUCAGUUGACUCUCUAAGCCAAUCGCUAGUUCCUGGUUCAUAAAAAUGUUUUACUUUUUCAUGAAUAGUGAGCUACUGAUUAGCCAGCUGACCACAUUAGCCUAUCAGCGACACACCCCUACCCAAUGACACUCUGUGCUUCCUUACACUCAGUAAAUAAAAGUGAACACAUUAACACUGAUAUUUUUUUCUUACUUGGGGAGAUGAGAAGGUCCAAAGUUUCCCUGCCACGCCCAGGUACCAAAGCCUUAUGAUGUGGUGUCCAGAAUAAAGUGGAGGGUUCACUUCACUUGUCCUUCCUGCUCCAAUCUCCUUUUCUUCUCCUUCAUUUGACAGUCUUUUUUUUUCUUCUGACUCCUUAGCUCCUUCGGCUCCUUUACCUUUCUGAUACUUUCUGCUUAUUUUGCGCCCUUCUGCUCCUUUCUCUUUCUGAUCCUUGCAGACCCAUUCUGCUCCUUCUCCUAAUUUACCUUUGUGCUCCUUCUGCCCCUUCCAGCUCAUUGCUACCCUUUUCUGCUUCUUUACCUUUGUGCUCCUUCUGAUUUUUUUCUGCUCCUUUACCUUUGUGCUCCUUUGGUCCAUUCUUGCUCCUUGCUGCCCCAUUCUUGCUCCUUGCUGCCCCUUUCUGCUCCUUGCUGCCCCUUUCUGCUCCUUGCAGACCUUUCCUCUUUCUUGCUGACCAUUCCUGCUUCUUGCUGACCCUUCCUGCUCCUUGCUUACCCUUCUUGCUCAUUCUGCUCCUUAUCCUACUUUACCUUUGUGCUCCUUCUGCCACUUCCAGUUCAUUGCUGAUCCUUUCUGCUCCUUGAUGUCCCUUCCUGCUCAUAUCUGUUCCUUCUCCUUUCUGCUCCUUCUCCUACUUUACCUUUGUGCUCCUUAUGUCCCUUCCUGCUCCUUGCUGCCAUUUCCAGCUCCUUGCUGACCCUUUCUGCUCCUUGCUGCCCCGUUCUGCACCUUCUCCUCCUUUACCAUUGUGCUCCUUCUGCCACUUGCUGUCCCUACCUGUUUCUUUCUGCUCCUUCUUCUACUUUACCUUUUGUGCUCCUUCUGAUUCUUUAUGCUCCUUCACCUUUGUGCUCCUUCUGUAUUUUCCUGCUUCUGCUGCCCCUUUCUGCUCAUUGCUUACCCUUCCUGCCCAUUUCCAUUCCUUUGUGUUCCUUCUACCACUUUACCUUUGUGCUCCUUCUUAUUCUUUCUGCUCCUUUACAUUUUUGCUCCUUCUGUCCCUUUCUGCUCUUUGCAGACCCUUCUUUCUCCUUGCAGACCCUUCCUGCUACUUGCAGUCCCUUCCCGUUCCUUGCUGUCCCUUCCUGCUCCUUGCUGACCCUUCCAUCUCUUUUCUGCUCCUUCUCAUACUUUACCUUUGUGCUCUUUCUGAUUCUUUCUGCUCCUUUGUGCUCCUUCUGUUCCCUUUUGCUCCCAGCAGACCAUUCCUGCUUCUUGCAGACCCUUCCUGCUCCUUGCUGCCUUCCAGCUCAUUGUUGCCCCUUUCUGCUCCUUGUUGCUCCUUCUACUAAUUUACCUUUAUGCUCAUUCUGUCAAUUUCUGCUCCUUGCAGACCCUUACUUCUCCUUGCAGACCCUUCCUGCUUCUUGCUGCCCCUUGCUGCUUCUUCUCCUGUUUUACCUUUGUGCUCCUUCUGAUUCUUUCAGCUCUUUUACCUUUGUGCUCCAUCUGUCCCUUCCUUCUCCUUGCAGACCCUUCCUGUUCAUUACAUACCCUUCCUGCUCCUUGCUGCCCCUUUCUGCUUCUUGCUGACCCUUCCUGCUCAUUUCUAUUCCUUCCAUCUCCUGCUGCUUUACCUUUGUGCUCCUUCUGAUUCUUUCUGCUCAUUUACCUUUGUGCUCCUUGCUGUCCCUUCCUGCUCUUUGCUGCCCCUUUCUGCUGCUUGCAAACCCUUCCUUCUCCUUGCUGCCCCUUCCUGCUCCCUGUAGACCUUUUCUGCUGCUUGCUGCCCCUUCCUGCUAAUUUCUGCUCCUUCUCCUACUUUACGUUUGUGCUCCUUCUGCCCCUUCCAGCUCAUUGAUGACCCUUCCUGCUCCUUGAUGUCCCUUCCCGCUCAUUUCUGUUCCUUUUACUUUACCUUUGUGCUCAUUCUGUCCAUUCCUGCUCCUUGCUGCCCUUUCCAGCUCCAUGCUGACCCUUUCCGCUCCUUUCUGCUCCUUCUACUUUACAUUUGUGCUACUUUACCUUCCAGCUCUUUGCUGACCCUUCCUGCACCUUCCUGCUUCUUUCUGACCCUUACUUCUCCUUGCUGUCCCUUUGUGUUCCUUGCAGACCUUUGCUGCUCCUUGCUGCCCCUUCCUGCUCAUUUCUGUUCCUUUGUGCUCCUUCUCCUACUUUACCUUUGUGCUCCUUGCUGAAAUCUCCUGUAGGCUGUCUCACCCAACCCUCACUUACCUGAUCUGUAGGUGGAUCCCCCCAUCUCUAACUUACCUGAUCUGUAGGUGGAUCCCCCCAUCUCUAACUUACCUGAUCUGUAGGUGGAUCCCCCAUCUCUCACUUACUUGAUCUGUAGGCUCCCACCCCAUCUCUCACAUACCUGAUAUAUAGGCUGUCUCCCCUCCCCCCAUCCCUCACUUACCUGAUCUAUAGGCUGUCUCCCCUUCCUCCAUCCCUCACUUACCUGAUCUAUAGGCUGCCCCCCCAUCCCUCACUUACCUGAUCUAUAGGCUGCCACCCCAUCCCUCACUUACCUGAUCUAUAGGCUGCCACUCCAUCUCUCACUUACCUGAUCUAUAGGCUGCCACCCCAUCUCUCACUUACCUGAUCUAUAGGCUAGCUGCCCCCCUGCAGACUCAGUCAUGAAAGAGAAGCAAGGAUAAGAUGUAGCUUCCUAUCCUUGUCUCUCUCCGUUCACAGUGCCACCUAAUGGCCGGUGCGGUAUUGCAGUGUAUUCUGAAUCUCACAUGAAAAAUAGCAGAACAAGCUGAAAAAUCCAGGGGGGGGAGGGGGCAAGUGCCCCCCUUGGCCCGCCUGCAGACACCAAUGAGUACCUGGAUCACUACUUUAUUUCAUUAUUUCAUAUAUUGUUCAUUUAUAGACAUGACUAUAAUGAUGCCAGAACUUUUAACUAAAACUCUGGCCGUAUGAGUACAUAUAUGAAGACUCUCCACUAUAAAUCCUAAUCCUCUCAUUAUACACCCACAUUUCCAGACUUUUCAUGGUACAGUAUAUCAAAUUACCAUCUGUUUUUUUUUUUUUACGCCAUUAGACAUCCAUACCUAAUAUGAAAAUUAAUCGGAACAUAGAAUACAUAAUAGUCUACAAGCUGACUGAGUGUGACUGUUUGUGAAGUUGGUUUAGUGUGAUUGUGCAUGGAGUUGUGAUUGGGAUUUGGCUGCGUGUGAUUGAGUGUGAAUGAGUAAGAGCACUGCCAUGGUAAACUCGUGACAGCACUCUGACUCAUCGCUGGAACUGUGGAUUGCUUAAAAAGCUUCCUGCGGUUAAUUUGUUUGGCAUUGUAUUAAAAAAUGGUUCUGUAGGGGUGGAGUGGGGGGAGCCUAACCUAGGCCCCCCUUGACAGCCAGGACUAUGGGACCUGGUCACCCAGGUCGCACUAGUGACUGUUACAGCCCUAGUAGUUCUGCUGUGGCCCUGAGAGAAAUCUUGCUCUCUAAUUUCUCACACCUAAUGGGGCAGAUCGCAGCAAGAUUCUUUUAUGGCAAUCUACAGGGUAGAAGAGUAUUUGAUCAUAUAUUUAAUUUGCUAAAUAGCAAACUGCAAUAUAUAUAAGUACCAAAGAUUAAUUUGUUAGAAGUAGACACAUUUAUUUCCUUCGCUAGUCAUAAUGCUAUUACUAGCUGGCCUUUUUUGUCAGUUACACUAGAAAAAAAAGGCUUUUCAACAGGAACGAGAUCUACUCCAUAGAAACUGCAAUCGUCAUUACAUAUUUACUAGAUAAAGUUGCAGUUUCAAAGAAACAAAAAAAAAACUAUUAGUGUAAAUCUGGAGUAGAUUUGUUUGAAUGUGUUAUACCCCAGAUAGGAAUCCCAUGGAGCCCAUUCGUAUGAAACUGACUGUAAAGACUUUGGCUCCAUGGUGAUUAAACUGUAUUUGUGUGGUCUGAGCGCCAUUCACUUAAUAAUGUGCGCUCAGACCUGAACUAUCUGGGGAUAUGUUAAAUGUAUAGUUUUAAUGUAAGGUGUCUUACCUGGUGUAUUUUAAAGUGUUUUACUGUCUUUGUGUCCCCAUGUGCUCAAUGGAGUCUGCCUCUAUCCCUGGAUAAUUGGAUUACUUUCCCCAGUGUCCAGGAUAGAGGGCUCUGUAAAACCUGUUUGAGCCAGAUAGCCAUGCUGCCAGCCAGGGUACAAAAGAUACUUUUUACUAACUUUUGAACCCCUGGUCUGAUUCAUGCCAUUUUUUAAUAUGUUGUUCCCCUGAAUGGAUUGAUUGUGAAUAUGUAAUUUUAUGUGAAUGUGAUGUAUGGUUUUAGAGUUAUGGAAGUUGGGUAGAAAGUAUGUUUUAACUGUAUGUGUAAUUGAGUUUCCUCUCAGGAUAAGGGGAGGGAAUAUGUGGGAUGUAACUGUGAUGUGAUUGGUUGUUUUAUACCUCCCUGUGGGCGGUCCUGUAUUUGCAAGACUGUAAUAAAUACCAGGCUGGGUGUGCCAGCACCUCAGACCACUGCUUGACCCUCAACACGGAGCCUUGUCUCGUUCUUGGGGGGAUUCACUGUAUGCUGUUAGAGACUGAUUGCCAGGAGUGUAAGCUGAUUGUCUGCUUUUCCUGUUCAUCUGCUAGCAGCUAUUUGGGAGGUUCCAGUUCGGGAGUUGGAGUGCUAUUUUGUAUCCAGUUCGGGAGUUUGGUGUUCUGCAGUAGCUGUGCCUGUAUCUCUGGAAAGGGGGCCGAUGCCUAAACGGUUUUUACCCCUUGUGUGCAAAACGGUCCGUUACAAUUGGUGGCAAGCGGCGGGAUCGUUCCUACAGCCAGAAGGACAGCUACAGGAGACACCAUUUCUUUGGAUUUACAAGUGGGGGAAACGCAUGUCCCAGUACAGCGACCCUAAAAGCAACAGAAUGGAACCAGCAGUGUUAUACAAGAAGGAGGACCUGGAUGGCCGGGAUGCAUUAAGGAAAGGCAUCUGGUACCAGGCCCUGGAUAAUGUACAAUACCAGCGGGGUGAGAGUCUCCCCAGUGAAGAGCAGCGGUUGCAGAAGCAAGUGGCCCUGCGGAUGCCCUUCCUGGGAGAGCAGCCCCUGGAGGAAUGGGUGAAGGAACUAGAGCAUCGGGUAUGGCAGGAGCUAUGGCUGGAGGAUGCCUACCAGGCGCUCUGGUGGUAUAUGGCACAGUAUAUACCCUGGACAGCUGAGCAUGACAAGCCAGAGGGAGAGGAGUUUGAUGGUCCUGGCUUGUUAUGGGAGUCCUUUGCAGAGCCUGACUUCGGGAGCCCUGCGCAGAACAGACUUCAGGAAAUUUUCUAUGAGAGGGAGGCUAGGCAUGACUGGGAUGACCCCCAUGAGGUAGAGCAAGACCUGGCUCACCUAGCAACCCUGGAGUGGGAACUGGAGCAGGACUACCGAGAUCUCUUCCACUCCAUUGGGAAGUCUCCGCAGGACAGCAGAGUGACAGAUCCAGUCUCAGACCCAUUCAGCUGGGAAGAUAUUGUUGAAAUUUAUUGGGAGGAACCCCAGGUGGCAGGUGGAGAGGGGACCGAGGUCUCUCCACCGGUAUUGCAGGGAAUUGGGAGCCCAAGCUCCAUUCCCCAGCGGGAGAUAUUGCAGGGAAUUGGGAGCCCAAGCUCCAUUCCCCAGCGGCAGGCUGAGUUACGGGGGCAGAGGUAGUUGUUCCUGCCACCCAGCAGCAGAGUGAUAUGCCGGGAAGGCAGUGUGAAGUGCAGGGAGAGGAGAGCAGCGUCCUCCCUCCCCAGCGACAGGCUGAGUUACAGGGGGCAGAGGUAGUUGUUCUUGCCCCCCAGCAGCCAAGUGAUAUGCCAGGAAGGCAGUGUGAAGUCCAGGGAGAGGAGAGCAGUAUCCUCCCUCCCCAGCGGCAGCGUGAUUUUUUGGGAAUUGGGAGCCCAGUCUCCAUUCCCCAGCGGGAGAUAAAACAGGGAAUUGGGAGCCCAGUCUCCAUUCCCCAGCAGCAGAGUGUCCUACCAGGAAUAGAGAGCCCAGUCUCCUUUCCCCAGCAGCAGGACUCUGUAUUGGGAGCAGAGACAGUCGGUCUCCCUCCCCCGUGGCUGGAAGUAUAUAUGGGAGAGGAGAUUGUUACCCCCUCUCCCCAGCGGCAGCUUAAUGUACCCGGGGGAGACAGUAAGCCCCACAACUGUGCAGAUGGGACCGUGGUCUUUGCACAUACAGCAAAGGGGGUAGGGACGGUCGGUUCUGCCCCCCAGCGACAGGGCUGUGUAGCCAAAGGGGAGACAGUCGGUCUCCCCCUCCAACAACCAGGCUUCAACCAGGCUACCCUCCCAGUAGCGCUGGCAACAGGGCAGAGUGCCGCUUGUCUCUGCCCAUGCAGCACCCCACCAAGUCAGCGUACCCGUACCCAGCACAGCCGUGGUGAGGCACCUGGACAUGGACAAGCUUCUCCUCUACCCAGGUGUAGUAACCAUUUAUUGUGGGUGGGCAGGGAGAUUAUGUCUUGUGGGUGGGCUGCUGGACUAACAAGGGCACUUAGUAUAUAUACUGUAUAAUAUAUAUUCAGGUUCAGGAGACAAUCACAUUUAGUGUAAUUCAACAAUCCCAUAGUGGUACAUAAGAAAUAAGAUAGAUAGUAUAAGUCCAAUAUUAGCAGAUAUAAAUAAGGGUAAAUAUAUCCAAAAGAUAUAGACAUAGAUACUAUACAUGUAUCCUAAAAUUCCUACACAUAUCAUAAUUAGAAUUCCUAUAUAUAUCAUGUUAGUCUGUUUGGAAAAGGGUAGAGAUGUGACGAGACCAAUCUCGCCACAUUGCAUUGGAGAAGCCUGGUUACUCGCCUGCUGCCUUUGGACUAUGGCCCCCUGUUAAAAGACAUCUUUUUUAACCUGCAGAAAAGCAUCAUUCGUGCUUUUCUGCCUGGGGCUCGGUAGAUUUGUUUGAAUGUGUUAUACCCCUGAAAGGAAUCCCAUGGAGCCCAUUCGUAUGAAACUGACUGUAAAGACUUUGGCUCCAUGGUGAUUAAACUGUAUUUGUGUGGUCUGAGCGCCAUUCACUUAAUAAUGUGCGCUCAGACCUGAGCUAUCUGGGGAUAUGUUAAAUGUAUAGUUUUAAUGUAAGGUGUUUUACUGUCUUUGUGUCCCCAUGUGCUCAAUGGAGUCUGCCUCUAUCCCUGGAUAAUUGGAUUACUUUCCCCAUUGUCCAGGAUAGAGGGCUCUGUAAAACCUGUUUGAGCCAGAUAGCCAUGCUGCCAGCCAGGGUACAAAAGAUACUUUUACUAACUUUUGAACCCCUGGUCUGAUUCAUGCCAUUUUUUAAUAUGUUGUUCCCCUGAAUGGAUUGAUUGUGAAUAUGUAAUUUUAUGUGAAUGUGAUGUAUGGUUUUAGAGUUAUGAAAGUUGGGUAGAAAGUAUGUUUUAACUGUAUGUGUAAUUGAGUUUCCUCUCAGGAUAAGGGGAGGGAAUAUGUGGGAUGUAACUGUGAUGUGAUUGGUUGUUUUAUACCUCCCUGUGGGCGGUCCUGUAUUUGCAAGACUGUAAUAAAAACCAGGCUGGGUGUGCCAGCACCUCAGACCACUGCUUGACCCUCAACACGGAGCCUUGUCUCGUUCUUGGGGGGAUUCACUGUAUGCUGUUAGAGACUGAUUGCCAGGAGUGUAAGCUGAUUGUCUGCUUUUCCUGUUCAUCUGCUAGCAGCUAUUUGGGAGGUUCCAGUUCGGGAGUUGGAGUGCUAUUUUGUAUCCAGUUCGGGAGUUUGGUGUUCUGCAGUAGCUGUGCCUGUAUCUCUGGAAAGGGGGCCGAUCGCCUAAACGGUUUUUACCCCUUGUGUGCAAAACGAUCCGUUACAGUUAUAUAUAACCGAGUGAUAUGAAUUGUGUGAUUAAUAAGAUUAGCGAGUACUAUUUAUGUACGUGAGAUAGAAAAUCGAUCUAUAUUAAUCGAUUUUUUUGAAGAAUAUGAAAAUUAUAAUUAAAAACAUUAUUUGGGUUGUCAUGGAAAAAGUAUGUAUUUACAUCAAUAAUUUACACUUAUAAAAAGCUAUUCAGGGGGUAAGGUUCUAUUCAAGACCAGUUAGAUACUAAGAAUGCAUGAUACCUAGUAUAUAUACUGUAUAAUAUAUAUUCAGGUUCAGGAGACAAUCACAUUUAGUGUAAUUCAACAAUCCCAUAGUGGUACAUAAGAAAUAAGAUAGAUAGUAUAAGUCCAAUAUUAGCAGAUAUAAAUAAGGGUAAAUAUAUCCAAAAGAUAUAGACAUAGAUACUAUACAUGUAUCCUAAAAUUCCUACACAUAUAAUUAGAAUUCCUACAUAUAUAUAUAUCCUAGAAUUCCUAGAUAUAUCAUAGCUAUGAAUACAGACUCAUCCUUUCAAUCAUCUGUAUAUAUGUAGAGAUAUAUGUAGAACAUUAGUCAAAUUAUAGACCAUCGAAAAUACCUCCAUCUGAUCGACUACUAAUUUGAUCAUAGUAUCCAGUCUAGAGAAUAUAUAGAAAAAUCUUAAUUUCAAUUAUAUUUAAGGAUCUCAACAUCACAAAAAUACGGAGUAGACAAUGUUUUCAUUCAGUCCCUUAGGUGUCACAGUAUCUAGACGGUGUAUCCAACGGGCUUCUCUUUGUUACAACAUUUUAGACCGAUCCCCUCCUCUCGAAGGCAUAGGUAUAUGGUCAAUCACAGUAAAGCGUAAGGUCGGUAAGCGAUGUCCAAAGUCCAAAAAAUGUUUGGCCACUGGUUUGUCACUUGUUUUAUCCCGAAAAGCAGUGGUGAUGGUGGAUCGGUGGCCUCGUAUCCGAUCUCUAAGAGUCAGGUUAGUUUUUCCAAUGUAGGAUAAGCCACACGGGCAAGUAAUCAUAUAGAUCACAUGGUCAGUGGUUCAUGUAAUAUAUUGAUUGAUGUUUAUUCUUUGUCCAUUAUGUGGAUGGGCAAAUGAGGUUCCACUCACCAUGUGACUGCAGGUGACACAUCCACUGCAUUUAAAACAUCCCUUUUUAGUAAUUUUUUGGGGGAUUUGGUAACAGUGUCUAGGAUCAUUUUUUACAAGCAAGUCUCUGAGAUUUUUAUUUCGCUUAUAACUAAGUACAGGUCGGUUUUGGAAAGACUUCGACAAUUGCUUGUCAGCUUGUAAUAAUCCCCAAUGUUUAUUAAUGGAAUUUUUGAUAACUGAUGUACCAGUAUGGUAUGUCAUUGGAAUAUAUAUUUUAGGUAUUUUAGGUAUAGAAGUUCCUUUUUUCCUCCUCUCAACGCCUUGUUUUUCAUUUUCCCAUAUUUCUUUUGCUUGUGACUUAGCUAUAUUUAAAGUCUGAAUCAUAUAUCCUCUUGCCCUGNNNNNNNNNNNNNNNNNNNNNNNNNNNNNNNNNNNNNNNNNNNNNNNNNNNNNNNNNNNNNNNNNNNNNNNNNNNNNNNNNNNNNNNNNNNNNNNNNNNNAUUUUAACUUUUAAAACAUUUUAACAGCUCACGUUACAUUUUAACAUAGGACCCCUUAUUUGAUAGCAGCUUUACAAGUCUUGCAUCCAUUGAACUUGUGAGUUUUUGGACAGUUUCUGCUUGAAUUUGUUUGCAAGAUGUCAGAAUAGCCUCCCAGAGCUGCUGUUUGGAUGUAAACUGCCUCCCACCCUCAUAGAUCUUUUGCUUGAGGAUGCUCCAAAGGUUCUCAAUAGGAUUGAGGUCAGGGGAGGAUGGAGGCCACACCAUGACUUUCUCUCCUUUUAUCCCUAUAGCAGCCAUUGAUGCAGAGGUAUUCUUUGCAGCAUGAGAUGGUGCAUUGUUAUGCAUGAAGAUGAUUUUAUUACGGAACACAUAGUUCUUCCUUCUGUAUCAGGGAAGAAAGUGGUCAGUCAGAAACUCCACAUACUUUGCAGAGGUCAUUUCUACACCUUCGGGGACCCUAAAGGGGCCGACCAGCUCUCUUCCCAUGAUUCCAGCCCAAAACAUGACUCCACCACCGCCUUGCUGACGUUGCAGCCUUGUUGGAACAGGGUGGCCGUCCACCAACCAUCCACUACUCCAGCCAUCUGGACCAUGCAGGGUUGCACGGCACUCAUCAGUGAACAGGACUGUUUGAAAAUUAGUCUUCAUGUAUUCUUCUGCCCAAUCCAGCCAUUUCUGCUUGUGAGCAUUGGUUAGUGGUGGCCAAAUAGAAGGUUUAUGCCCAAUUGCAAGACUCUGGAGGACUCUACACCUUGAUGUCCGUGGGACUCCAGAGGCACCAGCAGCUUUAAAUAUCUGUUUGCUGCUAUGUAAUGGUAUUUUAGCAGCUGCUCUCUUGAUCCGAUGCAUGGAUCUGGCAGAAAUCUUCCUCAACAAAAUUGUCGCACAAAAGUACAUAUGUAUAUAAAAUAGACAUCACAAGCUAUUUACUUAAGGUUAUUUUGACACUUUUUAGAUAGCCAUUUCACCGCCAAUCUCUGCUAAAUAUUCUAGUGAAAUUGUGUUUUUCAGUGUUUUGACAUACAAACUUAUAACAAGGAUCUUUUGAUGGGUAUUUCUUAAAGCUGAUGUGUGCUAUUCCUGAACAAAAUUUAGUGUUCACCUACAUCUGCGGAGUACAAGUUUAUUUGCUAGUUUGUACCAAGUCUAGUAAUAGUAACCAUAUUUUCUGCCUUUUUGACACACACACUUGGAGAUGUUGCUGUAUAUUUUGCAAUUCUUAUGUGUGCUACAGCAGUAUAACACUUAAUAUGUUGCUCAGCUAUGUCAUCUUAGUACAGCAAAACCCUAUGUGUACCUCUUUCAAAUAUAUGUGCAUGUCGAAUUGGCAAAUUUGAGACAGACAUUUCAGUUUUUUUCAAACUCUCAAUUUUGAUGCUGGUUCUACGGUGAAUAUGUAGCAUUUUAACAGGUUGUUAAAAUACUACCCCACCAAAGGCCUACCAUUUCUUAAAGAAAAUAUUAAUCACUGUCAACCUGCAUCAAACUCUGAGGCACUGUCUGUCAACUCUCUUUUGCGGACAGAAUUCUGAAUCCGCCUCUGCACUGAAUUUCCUAAGCAUUUUAAACUUUUUACACAAGAACUUUAACUAAAUAAUGUUAUUAAUGAUUUUAUUUUUUUCAAUUUCGUAACACUAAACUCUUCAAUUUCCCAUGAAUUAUCACCCAUCCUAAUUAACUACAUAGAAUUAAAAAAUAAAAAUAAUAAAAUAAUCAGAGUCAGAUGACAAUUGCAGCAUCCUCCCUUGGCUCUGAACGUUGUCAGCAAUUAACGGUAGCACAAGCAUGACGAAAAGUUUUCGUCGGACAUCGUGAAAUGGUUAAAAGAUUAGUCCAAACAUAUAUAGCACCUUACCUUGCUGAAAUUCUUUAUUUGCGACAAGAGUCUCAAGUGUGUUUCAUUUUUAAAAAGUGCAGAUUUUAAAAGAAAUCAGAACUUUUAACAACAAAUAUUUUUAUAAAAACAUAGUACAGUAUACAAAUAUGAAGAAAAGUUCCACCAUUCCAAAAGUAACUCCCAUGCAGAUAUGACAUUGUAGAAAUUGACAGUUUUAUAAAAUGAAUGCUGAUAUACCUCCCUGGCUGUCAGCAUCUUCUAGUUUAGCUCUGUGGGGCUAAAUUCAAAUGCAGGUGCUUGUGCACAGAGUAUGUCUUCUCAGUAAGCUUAAAUAUAGCUCAAAUCGCUAUGAUUAUUCCCUUGCACAGAUAAGAAAGUCUGUUAAGGGGAUGAAGGGGUGGGCAGGCAGUAGCUGCAGAUUCUAUACAGGGCCGGUGCAAGGAUUUUUAUUUCUUUUAUUGCAUCAAAAAGGGUCCAGGGAGAUCAACGUUUCAGUCCCUAACUGGGACUUUCAUCAGGAAACGUUGAUCUCCCUGGACCCUUUUUGAUGCAAUAAAAGAAAUUUAUUUAAAGAAGACCGUGAGUGCAGACUUAUUACAUACUUGGAAUAUACAUAAACAUAUAUAUGUGUAUAAAUACACAAAACUCAAUAUAUAUAUUUGCUUUUUUAUGGAUUGUUCCUUUAAAACCAUAGAUAUGCAUAUACACAAAACACAUAUUAUGUCUUAUUUAUUUGCUUAUUUUAACCUAUUUUUUUUUUUUUUGUUGUUCUAGCAUCCGAACUAUACUGAUGUUCUAAGAGCGAAAUUCCUGUAACGUGUAUUAUCAACAGAACAGACAGCUCACCAUGUGGAAGAUAUAAAUGGAUAAUUGUUCUAGUUUCUUUUUUGGAUACUUUUUUUUCUUGAUUUGUAUAUUAAUACAAUAUUGCCAGAGUAUGAUAUUUUAAUUUUAACUGUAUUAGAAUGAAUACAUUUGGCAAAUGUGUAAUUCAUAUUCAUUUAAAAAGAUGUUGAAUUUGUACAUCUAGGCUCUAGGUGAUACCGCUUGUGCUAUAAAUGUUUUAUUAAAUUG